UAUUCUUAUAUUCAUCUCCUCUGAGGAGCUAAACCUUAUCUCCAGAGAGGUCUGUUUAUCCAGUCAUAUUCCUUUAGAGGCCCUCAUGUUUUCUCUUCCAAGAGGAGGCUGGGGGCACUCAGGUGUGGCUCAGGUGAUCUGCCGCUGAAUCAGGAAAAAUUGUGCAGUGACGACAGCGACAGCAAAGCCCUGGUCCGCGCCCUUUACAAUCCCUGACAUAGGAGUGAGUCAGGCCUGCUGCCCCACCUGGGUACUGCUGCACUGCUGACCACAGGCCCAGAAUGAGGAAUGGCAGGAAUGGGCACUGGCAGAGGCAGAAUGGGCAGGGGAAAGGGAGACAGACAUUUGGAAAUGGGAGUGUCUGAAAAGGGAAAGCAGGGUGGAGGGACAGUGCCAGGGUCCUGGGGUCAGGGAAUGACAGGUGAAAGCUUCAACUGCUCCUAGUAUUCAGUAGAUCCUCAAUAACUAUUUGUUGACUUGAGACAGGUUUGAGAUAGAAAGGGAACAAGGAAUAGCAAAAAGGACAUGUUGUAAUCUAGUGGCGUUAGAGGAAAUUGGUUUAAGUACCAGCUCUACUACUUAUUAACUAGGAAAUAUUGGGUCAGUUUCUUAAGGUUACUGAAAAUCUGUUUCCUCAAUUGAUAAAUGGGCAAAUUGACCUUUAGGUAACCACAAAGAUUAAGAAUAUAAAUAUACUCCUUCGGGGCACAUAGUAGGUGCCUCUUGCAUUAUUGCAAGCAUUAAUGGGCAUUAUUGUAAUUAAGAGAAGAGGGGCUGCUUUGGAGCUGGGAUGUGCAGGAGUGAGCCAUCCCAGGAGUAGGGGACUGGAAUGAGAAAAUAAUCUCCAAGUGCUAACAUCUCGAGGAGAUAUGAGUUCUUUUUCUCUUUUUACUCCACCUUCCCUCCCUCUGCAGGUUUUGUGGCUCUUCAUUUUCUCCAGAGAAGCAAAGACUUCCGCAUUUCCAGGUCCUGUUCAACUAAUAAGCAGGGUCAGGACCAGGGUCCUCAUGCUGAAUUCAGCUUCAGGGCUGGGUAGAAGACUGGGAUGAAGUUGCUCCUCAUCUCUCUGUCCUGGCUAUGAGCAGGCAACACCUGGGUCAGGAGUGCGAGGUGAGUGGGUGAUGCUACGGGGGUUCAGGUGGAGCAGUCAGACCAUGCUGAGUAACUCCCCUGGAGGGAAGUGGGAAGUGGUGGAGGCAGUUCCUGUAGGCCCAGCUCAGAGGGGAGAAGGGAGCCAAUUAACACCUCCUCCCCAAGUCACAUCCCAGCCCUGGGAAUACUUCAUAGGCUCCGGGGG
rnacentral:lncRNA from 1 species